CGCUGGAACUAUCCCUGGGGCAACAGCCGUUAACCGACAAUCAAGGAAUGCGCAGGGGGGCACUCCUCAAGUCAGGGUCUGCUGUUUCUGCGGCCGCGGCCGCCUUAGUUCCUUCCUCCUCACCACUAACCUAGAUAGAGUACAACAGGGAUGAAGCCCCAUCGGAUGGUAAAUUGGCCGCCCUUGAAUAGGUUCUGCAGCCGCUGCUUCGUCUCUUUGCUCAGCUUCGGCAUGGCGGAGUCUCACAGGCAGCGAAAGCAAGAGGCGGGGAUGGAAAGGCCUGCGCGUCCUUCGCUCCGUGGCUCUACCGCGCGUGCGUGGAGGCCUACUGGGCAAGGCUCUGUUCUCAGACGGUGGUGGCGCCUGAGGCCGGUCGGAAGGACGAGAGUAGUUCUCGCUGGCAGGGGCGUAACUUGGGCAGUGCGGCUGGUGCGGGCCGCACCGGGUGACACCACGAGAUGGGGGUGACACCCAGAGCCGCUCCGCCCCCCUACGCACCAGGAAGCGGGGCAGGCGGACGGCGCUGAGGGGCGCUGUCUGUGCGGCGCAUGCGCAGCCCGCUAACACAAGAGGGAGUGCAUUUCUCCUUCGCAGUAGUCGAAUCUUGAACAGAACGAACGGUCUUGUCAAUUGCAAAGUGAAACUGACAAAAUACACACCAUGGACUUACCUGAAUGAAGAUUGCAGGCCUCUAGUAGUCGGUGGACCACAGCUUGAAAACCCCUCCUCUAGAUGAUUUAUGAAGAAGUUAAAAAGCACAGGUCCCAAUACUGAUCCUUGGGGAACUCCACUUUCUGCACACACACCCCAUUAUUCUGUAAUAAAAGAUACAGACAUCCAAUGUCUUACUCCCAGCAAAGGUAUAUUGCUUUUUGUCUAUUCAGAUGAAUCCCACUUAGUAAUAUCUUCAGUCUGUGUCAUUGUGAAUAGAAUAUCUGGCCAAAGAUGAAAACUGUGAACUGAUUGUGGAUAUCUCUGUAGAGUAUCAUGCACAGAUCUGAUGGCUUAAAGGAUUUUCUGAGGCCAGUAUGACAGCUAAAGUAUGCUUAAAUUUACCUUUGCAGUUAUUUUCUCACUAGAUUCAUAGACACUUGUGUUUCUAGAAAACGUAGUUGUAUUUUAUUAGUUCAGAAUAAAAACCUGUUGAAUAUGCCCUUAA